rnacentral:rRNA from 1 species
UACAGAGGUCCCAAGCGUUGUUCGGAUUCAUUGGGCGUAAAGGGUGCGUAGGUGGCGCUGUAAGUCGGGUGUGAAAUUUCGGAGCUUAAACUCCGAAACUGCAUUCGAUACUGCGGUGCUUGAGGACUGGAGAGGAGACUGGAAUUUACGGUGUAGCAGUGAAAUGCGUAGAUAUCUGGAGGAACACCGGUGGCGAAGGCGGCAUCCUGGGACCAACACUGGAACGCUGAGGAGCGAAAGCCAGGGGAGCAAACGGG